GACUGUUUUUCUCUUUAUGCCCCCGCUCCUUGUUCCCAUGCGCUUUUUCUCCCCCCAUUGUGUCUUUUUCACUCUUUUUAUCAGCUUCAGAAGAAAAAUGUGGCCGUGCCAAGUCACAGUUACGUUUUACAGCACUUGUACCUGUGUCUUUUAUGGAGGAAGCGGAACUUAAAUGUACAGUAAGGUACAAAUUUCUUGUAAAUUGGUUCAGAAAGCAUUCAUCUUUAACGAGAGAGGAGAUGGGCGUAGAGAGGAAGGGAGUUAGAAUAAGACAUUUUGUAAAAGUUGCCUUGAUGAAUUCGACUUCUCUUGCUGAUAGAUGAGUCUUCUUCACGUCUAUUGAAAUGCAGUGUGAUGAAUGGGCAGGUCAUUGAUUCUGGCAUCGGAAACACAUCCUCCACCCUAAUGCAUAUUUUCCAUAGGAUACAGCAGAUCACACAGGACCAGCACAUCCAUCACUCCCAGGUUUAUUUAUCCACCUAAGAGGGCAGGGUCAUCAUCUUCCUCAAUCUCUCUCUCUCUCUUUUUACCCUCUCCUCAUAUUAAUCAGGACUCGAGACAGUUCCACAGGCUCCAAUUCCACUUCAAAGCCAAACCAUUUCCUGCAGUCUGAAAGGCCUGUCAUCACCAUGUACGAGAGAGAGAGAGAGGGAGAGAGAUGUGAGAAGAGUGGGAGGAAGGCAGGCAAACGGAUAAAGCAUAUCCUAGAGAUGCAUGUGCAGAAGGUGUGCACUACCCGGGAAGCCAAAGUACAUCAGGAUAUGUGUUCGAUUCAGAUGUUGGACCAAAAAAACUAAAUUCAUUCAAUUGCUCACGUUCUUUUUCCCUUCACUCUCUUUGAAUUCCUCAGAAGUGUAAGUGGUGGUAUCCUCAUGUUUGCUGGCUCUGCAUGAAUUACAUUGCAUCCUGUGUGCCAUUGUUGUGAUAAUGGGUAAAGUUAUCUUCAAAGCGGAAUGGGGAGCGCCGCAGGGUCAGAGAGAGGCAGCCUUCAUGACGUGCCUAAUCCGUGAAAUUAUACCUGCCACCCGCCUCCACGUUAG
ensembl:lncRNA